AAAAAAAAAUGGCAAAGAAAACCCCCAACCAAAGGGAGUGCCGGUUUUUUUUUUUUUUUUUUUUUUUUUUUU
rnacentral:ribozyme from 1 species